UACCUACGGGGGGCAGCAGUGGGGGAUAUUGCACAAUGGGGGAAACCCUGAUGCAGCGACGCCGCGUGGGUGAAGAAGCGCCUCGGCGCGUAAAGCCCUGUCAGCAGGGAAGAAAAUGACGGUACCUGACUAAGAAGCCCCGGCUAACUACGUGCCAGCAGCCGCGGUGAUACGUAGGGGGCAAGCGUUAUCCGGAUUUACUGGGUGUAAAGGGAGCGUAGGCGGUUUAGCAAGUCAGAAGUGAAAGCCCGGGGCUCAACUCCGGGACUGCUUUUGAAACUGCUGAACUAGAUUGCAG
rnacentral:rRNA from 1 species